CUCCAGCCGUGGGGGUGCGGCUCCAGCUGUAGGGGCUGCGGCUCCAGCUGUGGGGGCUGCGGCUCCAGCUGCUGCAAGCCCGUGUGCUGCUGCAAGCCCGUGUGCUGCUGUGUGCCAGCCUGUCCCUGCUCCAGCUGUGGCUCCUGUGGGGGCUCCA